GAAAGGCUACCCACUCCAGUGUUCUGGCCUGAAGAAUUCCUUGGACUGUAUAGUCCAUGGGGUUGCAAAGAGUCCAACACAACUGAGUGACUUUCACUUUCAAUCUACUGUAUUUUCAUUAAAGCAAUCUGAAGGGACAAAGACUCUAUUAGAAGAAAUAUAGCGGGUAGAGGGACAAAGCUAAAUGACACCAGGAGGAAAUAAUCAGAUAAAUCCAGAAUGUGGAACAUUCUACAACUGGCCUGGUCUCUCAAAAAAAAAAAAAAAAAAAAAUCAAUGCAAUGAAAAUAAAAGGAUGGGAGAACUGUUCUAGGUCAAAAGGAACAUACAGUCAAGUGAAUGUGUACUCCAUGAGCAGACACUGACCUGAACAGAUGAGCUACAAAAGAUACUUUACAGACUUUUGGGGGAAUUUUAAUAGACUGGGCUUCAGGUGGGUAUUCAGAAAUUAUUACUAAUUUUCUUAGGUGUGAUAAUGGUAUUUGCAGUUAGGAGAAUAUUCCUUUAUAUUGGACAUGCUGUUGGCGUGUGGAGAUGACAGGGGACGAUGUCCAUGAUUUAUUCUGAAAUUCUUCACACGGUAAAUACGUAAAUAAAAUCUAAGCAUUUUAAGUUUCAGGGUGGCUCAAGGGAGGAGAAUGAGAUGCCCCAGGGGACAGAGCUCACCUUCCUGGGCUUGGCUGGGCCCGCACUGCUUGCCAAACCCAGGGGUGUGCACUUUCUGUGUGUUUGGAGGGAAAUGUGCAGCAGCACCUGGCACAUAGUAGGUGCUUAACCAAACUUCAAUGAGUGAAAGAAUGGACAGUCUUUGUGGGAUUCACCUUCUAGGAUGGGUUCUGGCUGAACAACCCUGUUUACAUUCCACCUAUCUUCCAAGCUCAUCACAAGACAGUUAAAAACACUGGCAGGGCGUCAAGGGUCACCUUUGAGGGAAGUGCCAGGGAGGGUUCUCUGAGGUCUCACCGGAUGAUACCAGGCACCACCGCCAUGGCCUCUCUCUAAGCCUCUUCAGCAUCUCCUGAGCCCCCUCGUGGAGCUCAGCUACUUCUGCAGCCCCGCCAUUCAGAUCAAGAGUCAAUUGCUCAUAAUCCUUCUGUCCUGAACAGCUGGCCUGCUGGUCCUUAUUCAUUUUAUUGAAUCAGGUGUAGCGUCAGAAGCAGUCCUGUUCCCUGUAAGGCUCCCAAGUCAGGUGAGACACAUUGUGGGUACCCACUAAGAACCUGGGGUCCUAAACAAUAAUAACAACGAUAAUGAUUAAUGAAAUAAUAAUAUGUUACAUCACUCAGUAUUUAUUGUUUCCAAGUUUGUGCAAAUUUGUUUAACAAAAGUUCUUUCUUUAAUUAUCCUAAGAGGACUGUUUUUGUUGAUUUUUUUUUACUUUAAUGCUGAUCCCCAUUUGGCAGGCUGAUUCCUAGUUUCACAGUUAAGAAGUGGCACACCAGGGUUCAAACUCCAGUUGCCUCAUUCCUGCUUCUUUCCCAGGAGCAACGUUCAGGCCGCAUUUCAGGGUUCCUUAGCCGUGAACGCUUGAGGACAGCUGAGAAAUCCUGGAACAGCCAGGGCCCAAGAGCCAGUGGUGUACUUCGUUCCCUACCAAGUUCUGUGUUGAAAUGAUUAUCCUUAGUAAUAGCUCCUGCCCCUUCUUUCACAAUCUUCAGAAGCACACCACAGGACGGUUCAAAGUCGAGCAGGCUGAUGCGUCACCUUUGAUGGAAGUGCCUGGGAGGACCCUGUCCGAGAGGCCAGCCCGCGGAGCUAAGUAACCUGGUGGCGAACACUCCCCUGCAGUCAGGAAGAUGUUCAGGCCAAGGCACAGGACAGAUGCUGGAAGGAUCCCUCCAUUUCGCCGAGGGGCUCAGUACUAACUGGUUCAAGAAGCGAACAAGGUGAAUGUCUGCUGGGGACCGUGGGCCCGAUCGGAGACAGACAGGGUCCCGCCCUCGAGGAGCUCCCAGCCUGAGGGAGCGAGGAGCAAGGCCACAGGUGACUUGACAGCCCUCAUCACGCCAUGAAGCUUCUGGGACCAGAUAGACCUGGCUUCUAGACUCUUCUGCUUCCUGGCUGAGUGACCUUGGGGAAAUUACACAGUGUUCCAAGUCAUGGUUUUAUGCCCAGCAAACUGGGUCACUGACCCCCAGGAGAGAGAUGACCACAUGGGGACAGGAGCGUGAGCGUGGUCUAAAGCACCAGGGCACCGACAUCAAGCUGAGUGAAGGAAAUGCUCGGGAUGUCCACGCACUGCCCAGAAGCAGAGUGAGAGGGAUUUGGCAAAGCUUUGCCUGCUCUUAGGAUCCGUGGCCAAGAUGGAGAAAUGCUUCUUCUCUAGCUGUGGCGAGUGGGUCUACUCUCCAGUUGUGGGUCCUCUGGCUGACUUUGAGAAGGACAAAUGGGCAGCUGCUCUGAGAAGCAGCUGAAGAUCAAGACAAACUUGCAGCCAAUAACCUCUCCCGUUGCUGAGAUUCCCACGGAGAUGUGCAAGGCUUUUCCCGCACCAGCCCUGCUAGUUAUUGCUUUCCAGUGUAAUUCAAGCCUUGAUCUGGUGCAAAGCUGAGCUGAAAAGCUGAAAAACGGAAAGCUGAAAAGCUAAGACUUUUGGUCCUCAGGACUAGACCCCUGACCUUAACCUAUGACAACCAAGUGUUAAUGUACCUGUUGUGACUAAAACAUCAAAGGCCAAUAUGACACACGAAAGGGAAAUGUGGCUUAUUGAAAAGUUGAGUUUAAGACCAAUUUACUUUGUGUGUCAUUAAAGCAGGGGCACUUUCUUGAGAAAUGUCCACUUGACCACUUUUAAAUUAUAGCACAGUAACUUAAGUGAUCCUGUUUCCUGUGACUGCUUCUUGAAUCUACUGGGACCACAGGGGCCUUUAUAGAUUUUGUGAACUAUGCUCUAUUGUUUAUUGAUGGUUUCCUCAUAUGAUAAAUGUUUUACAUUUAUUAUUUAAUACAUCAACCCCACAGGUAGGUGGUAUCAUUCCCCUUUUUAAAGACAGUGGAACUAUGGCUCAGAGAAGUUGAUUAACUUUUCCAUGGUAUCACAGCUAAUAAAUGGGCUCUGAAUUUAGGCUGAUGAAAGCUACCAUUAUACUUUAGUUGUAAUGGACUGUAUAAGCAGCCCUUCAGCUUCAAUUUGCUGAAACAAGUAAAAGUCUGCUGAGGAAUACUUUUAUCCUUCCAUUCAGAAGGUCCACUGGGCACUGAUAACUUGUGAUUAUUCUGAAGGAAAGCCUUCUCUGAAAAAAAAAAAAGUUGGGGGAAAUGGCAGGAGAUGGACUGGAUAAGCACCGUUGCUUCAGGCCUUACUUAAAGUACACUCCAGCAACUGUUGCAGUGGCCCGUGUAAUAACCUGGCCACACAGGAAUCUCUGUCAGUGACGGAGGUACAGACGAGUUCCAACGGAACAUUCCCGUAGCCGAUGAGGUGGACUACUGUUGGGCUGACUGCCUGCUUCUAAUGAAAUGGGUCAUGUGACUUUGCUAAAGCAACACCUAAUCUAGUAACAAUAUUUAAAAAGUGCUUUUAAGAAAUUUUCUGCUCACCUUAGUUUCAUGCAUAUAUUUUCUUAGGAAGAAAAAAAAUUCCCUAUACAUCCCUAUUUAACUUCACCAAUUUUGACAAAGAUACAUUAUAAUGAAUCAUGGAAAUUUCUUGUAUGAUCUCAUGUUCUACAUAAAAACAGCUUAGCUAUUUAAA